UACGUAUGGAGCAAGCGUUAUCCGGAUUUACUGGGUGUAAAGGGUGCGUAGGCGGCAUGCCAAGUCAGAUGUGAAAAUGCCGGGGCUUAACCCGGACGCUGCAUUUGAAACUGGCACGCUUGAGUCCAGGAGGGGUAGGCGGAAUUCCUGGUGUAGCGGUGAAAUGCGUAGAUAUCAGGAGGAACACCGGUGGCGAAGGCGGCCUGCUGGACUGACACUGACGCUGAGGCACGAAAGCGUGGGGAGCAAACAGGAUUAGA
rnacentral:rRNA from 1 species